GCAGAGCGCGUAUAGCCCUGUGGCGUGUACGAAGAAGAGGUACAUGAUAUUUGCUACUACGGAGGUCUGUGCUUGCAUGGAUCGAUGAGAACAAUGUAACCACCAAGAUCACUGAGUGCUCAGCAGCACAGUGGCACGCGCGUCUCUGCCCCUCGGUCGCAUAGAACGGACUAACGCAU
rnacentral:sRNA from 1 species